CUGGGAUGACCUGACGAGGAUGAUGGAUGGUGCUUGGAUUUGAAGGCUCUGGAUUUAUUUCAGGAUGAGUCUAUUUCUCUGGAAGGUAGCUUGGAGCUGACUGCCUACUAGAGCUAUGUUGAGAGCUAGGGAGGAUGGAUAUUCAGACUCCCUGCCUUUGCUGUAGGUUAAAGGAUGAGACUUUGAAGCAUACGCUCUUCCUGUGCCAUAGAGCGUG
rnacentral:lncRNA from 1 species